AUGCUCGCCCGACCGAGUCUCCCAUUUUAAGUUUUUAAAUAGCAUGAAGCGAUAUAUAAUUAAACUUGGCUAAGACGUUCCCCUGCCCCCAACGUGUUCCUAUCUCUUCUACCUGGUGGAACGAAACUUUACUUGACUUGCUAGUUUCUCUCUUGUCUUUUAUUUUCCUUACUCUUAAAUAUUGGAUCACAAGGUAGAUUGCCAUGUGUUUGUUUAGUAUCCAUAGCCCAGCUCUGAGUGAUUUGGGCAGGGAAGCCAUGAUUUACAUUCUUUCAUGCCACCACACAAUGAAAUGUCUUACUCAUAAGCAUUCUCCAAGAGUGUCAGUGCCCCGAGAGCCAGGAUUUACCUGUGUGAUCACUGCCCUCUCCCUCACUCUGGGAACGGUGCCUGGCACCAGUCAUACUCAAUGAAUAUUUGUUGAACGAAUAGAACAUCAGAUGAAUAGUGGGUACUCGUAAGCGCUUACUGGUUCGCCCUGAGCCAUCCUUUGUCUCGCUGCAUCCCUUUGACUAACUUGGUGGUACAUUUUCCUUGGUACUCUUUGACAGCGUCCCCUUGGCUCUAACUCUGGGUUCCGUUUUGCUCAGUUCUCUGGCUUUCUGUUCUGAUCCCUCUAUGUGUCCUCCAUUAGAAAUCCCAGGCAUUCUUUGUGGCAGCAUCUAGUACUUUCAUGCCGAUGGCUAUCAAGUAUGUGUCCUCAGCUCUGAACUUGGCUGGAGCCAGGUUCUUACAUCUCCAGCUGACGGUGGGCUGAUGAACGGGAUCAUGGAGUAUGAGUGCUGGAAGGAACCUUGGCAGUCAUGCUCACCUAACUCCACAUGAUUCUUCUCUACUCCUGUCACGAGGCAGCCCACUUCGUCGUCGUCCAGCCCUGGUGAUUGUCCCCCAUGCCGCUUCUUUCCCUUCAUCUGUCGUCUUGUCUAAAUUGUUAGCUUCUGGACAGCAGGGGCCAUAUCUUAUGCAAAUCAAUUGACAUUUGUUUAUAAAAAGUGUAUAUUUGAUAAUAUGAAAAGUUGGAAUGUUUGAAGUUAGGUGAGAGGUGCUGUUCCCUAAAUAGGUUUGGGGGGUCUCCCCUCCGUUCUGGUUUUGGAAUAAGAAAGGCCUGGGUUCAAAUUCCAAGCCUACCAUUUAGCAUCUAUGAACCUUUAGGAAAGUUCCUUCUCUGAGACUUGAUUUCUUCAUCGAUAAGGCAGUGAUACUAGCAGUAACUACCUUGCAGGCUUGGAAUGCGGACUCGUGAGAUACCGUAAAUUCAGGGUUCAGUGCAGGGACCGACAAGUAUUGGGGGCCCCCCAAAAUGGAAGUUGUUAUUACCAGUUGGCUGACAUUAACACUCAGCUUGGGCUCUAGGUCAGCCUCUAAGCAAUAUGUAUGUAGCUCUUGCCCCGUACUUCUCCAACCCCUCCUCGCCUCUGAAUACAAUACUGAAACCCAUAAUCCUUUGUUCUCUGGGUGAAGGUACAAGGAUGGUUUCCCCUUUCAGACAAGUCCAUUAAUUUCUGCUUCUGAAUAUGGAACCAUGUCAGUGCUGACACGGACACUAUGGAAACACAGAGAAGAAGGAAACUAAUCUAUACGUUUAGUUCAGGCACUGUGUGGAGCUACGUCACAGUGCCUGCCCUCAAGAUGCUUGUAGUCUGGCAGGAAGGAAAGGCCAGGAUGCGUGGAGUGAGUAGGAGACGAUGUUGGCUUCUUAUGACAAAAGGCUGCAUUGUGAUGGGCACACCCAGUUGAGUGGCCCAUUAAUAGGGUGGUUAAGAGAUUAGGUUCUGGAGUCACAAAGACCGGCCCUCUAAUCUUGAGUCUGUCACUUUGGGCUUGUGGGACUUGUGCUUGUGUGCUUGUGGGACUCAGUUACUUGACUUCUCUGGACCUCAGUUUCCUCAUCUGGGUCCUCUGGUGAGGAUUAAGUGAGGGCACGCACUGAGGAGUGCUCAGCAUAGCCCAGCAUCGCUCCCUAAGUGCUACUGUUGUUAGUAGGUGCUUUCUGCUUUGGGAGAAAAGAGCUCACCGACGCCUCUGCUAAUCAGAAGGGGUGAGGCUCAGAUAAUUAGAGGGAGGGGAGAGUGCUCUGUAGUUGGGAAACAAACAACAAAUGACAAAAACUCACAGAACAACAACGGCAUAGAGCCAGGAAAGACUCAGGAAUGUCUAAGGGCAGUGGGAUGUACAUCAGGAUGGGAACAGAGGAGAGUGAUGUGUAUGACACAGUAAGCGGGACCAGCCACAGGACAGUUGGAGUUGGACAGUUGCUUCCUCGUACCCUCCAUUAUGCCUCUCACGGGACCCGGUUCAGCAAAUGCUUAUUAUUUGCUACUGAAAUUCUUGGUCUAAGUAGGUGGGCGUGUGUCUCUUCUGGCUAAUGUACUUCAUAGGCUGAUUACCUUCUUGAGUGCUUCCAUUCCAUUUCCUGGUUCAAAGCCCCAUAAACGUCCCUUUUUCCUAUUCAGGUCUUGGUCAGCAAAUUCCGAGGAAACGUAUCUGUACUAUUUAUCAUCGAGAAGCUAUGAAGCACCUUUCUUCCCAGGCUUUACCCUCCAGACAAGAGCGUCUGCCUCGUUUUGGAGUCACAGAGCCGGACUUCACGGGCUACUGCGUGGCCCGGAGCAAGUUACUCAACCUCCCGUGCUCUAUUUCCUCACGUGUGAACUUGGAGUAAUGUGCCUCUUCGCAACCAGUUCCCCUUCUGGUACCUGCUCUGCAAUGCUGGCCGGACUGUAAGCAGGUCUCGCUCCUGAGAGCACGAUGUUAGACGUCGUCAAUAGAGGGUGCUACCUCAGAAGUAGGGUCUCGUGAGUAAUGGCUUGAAGGGUCCCGGGUUUCUUUUUGGGUGAUAAAAAAUGUUCCGGAUUAAACAGCGAGAUGUGGAUGCACUGGCAGUCACCUAAUCGCACACUUGAACGUGGUUAAAAUGGCGGGUUUUCUGUUGUGUGACUUUUACCUCAAUAAAAAGAAGUAGGUCUCUGUGAAGACAGGACGAAUCUGUGGUAGGAAGGGUUGAGAACAGUCCUUGGAACGUGGUGACUGGUCCGGUCCAGUGACUGUAGUUUUGCUUCGUCGUUUAGCGGUCUGUCGCCGGACCUACUCUUCCUUGGACCCUGGCACCUUCUUCUUGGGUGUCAGAGUCUAGCCGCCUCGGAGCUGUCUGUGUCUCGGGCUGGCUCUCUCUCACUGGCUUCUCAGGCGGUGGAGUGAAUGCCUGCCCUCCCGCUUCUCCCGAAUCUCUCCAGACAGCUGAUGGCGGGGGACGAGGAGUAGCCGAAGAGGCCGCAAUCGCUGCAUAGCUGAGGGGAGUCAAAAGAAAGGAGGUAACGUUAGACUUUGUGUCCCAGGGCUCUGGGCCCCUGAAGCGAAGGUUAAUUUUGCCCGACUAUUCUCCCCAGGUCUCCUCUCUGGUCUGUUGCCCUCCGUGUGGUGACUGUGGAGCCCAAGCGUGCAGUCCCCAGCUCCUUCUGGGGAGAGGAGCUGGACCUCCGGUCGGAGGCUCUGGAACAUUCUGUAGGUUGGCAGAGGCGGCGUAGGCUCACGGGACAGGGAUGCAAGGGAAGGCUUCAGGAACCACAUGGUGGGGUUUGAAGAAAUCCUGAGGGCUGGUUUGGGGGAGAUCUUCCUUUAGGGUAAUCACCGGUGAUGAUGAUGACGAGAGACCGGAGAAAGGUGAGGAGGUGUACACGAAGAACUCCAUUCCUUCAGUUUCCUCCUCUUCCAUCCGGGUAACGGUCCCCACCGUACCACCGGGCCCGGAAGACUGGUGUUUCCGUCGCAUACAGUGUCGUUCCUCCCAGACCCAGGGUUUUUGGGACAACCUAAGUCAGACGUUUUCUGUCCUGAUAUCCCCCUCUUACCCAUGCGCGUGCCUGGUCACCUGUCCUGCCCAACCCCUCCCACUACGGCUCCAUCUUCAGAGGGUGCUGCUUGCCAGGGGACCGUCACAGAGCAGGUGGGGAGCACACGACAGACGGGGGCUGCCUCCCUGCAGGGCUCGCGUGUCCUCUAAUGCUGGGGGCGGGGGACACCAAAAGCACGUGCCUCGUGAUUGGCAACUCUGUCACUCUGUUGCCAUUUUCCAUUGAGCUGACUCACGGAGGCUCAGGAAAGCAGGCUCAGCGGCCGGCCUUCGGGGCUCACACGUCUGACCCCUAUCCCCAUGGGGUAGCCACAGUCGCUGGGUGGCACUGGUUUCAGGGUCCCCGAGCUGUCAGGGUCUCUCUCUGAGGACUCCCCUCAGACACGGUUACCAAACAUGUUUUUCGUGUUUAUUAACCUGCUUCGCUUCUCACGUUUCCCUGGGCACAGCUGCAUUUCUUAUCUGAUGGGCUUCCUGCCAGCCCCUCGAAGCCUGACAGUUACAAAGGGCGGGCGGAUUAGCUGCAAAAGAAUAUUUAUUAGAAAAAAAAUCCCUUUUAUUCUUCUGUCCUUUUUGUGGAAUUAGCCAUAUAUUGCCUGGAUGAGAUAAGAGCAGCCCUUUUGUGAGCGAGGAGCAGAGGUCCGACAUCUGGGUUACUGGCAAUGCCAAGCACAAAUCACAUCAAGGUGAAUCCCGUGCCAAGCUCUGAAGCAGAGGGUUGUAGACACCUGAGCUGUGGACGGGAGACGCCCUGAAGUUUAACCCAUGAGGACCUCCCGCCAUUUCCUCAGCUGACUGCUUUCUCGGAUCCUUUCAAAGAUGCGUUUCCUAGUGAUGGUCAGACAGCAGAAACCCGUCACAGCCAUGAGCCUCAUGUAAGCUUCAUAAGGAGAGCGCUGGGAGUUUCUCUUGUUUACCACCCAUCGAGUCCCUGGCAGAAAGUAGAUACUCAACAAAUAAGAGCCGAAUGAGAGAAUAAAUGGGGUCACCAGGUUGCCAGUGGAAUCCCUCCCACCUUCUAGCGGCCAGACUGCUGUCUCAGGCUGUAUGGAUACUGUUCUGUGUUCUUAUCGACUGAAGGCGAGAACCACAGCUGGGCUGAAGUUCUCCGCGCAGCUCCUGGGACUUUUGAGUUCUCGUGAGGUGAUCACUGGUCUCACUCCUCUUGUUUGAUCUCCCCCGGACUCUCUGCUGAGUUAAGGUCCAUUCCCUACCACGCCCACUGUCUUCUUUCUCGAGAUUCUUAGCUUCUGGUCUUUGUGUGAAACACGCGGCUCUCUCCAAGUGAGGCCCAGAAAGCUACAUGGUGGAGGGAAGGUUGUGGGCCGUUAGCUCCUGAGCUACUGCUCCAGAGCCAGAGUCUCUUAGCAUGGUCCACCUGCCCUCGAUGCAGUUUCACGAUGAGAUCAAGGAGCAGGUCAUCUGGACUGGUUGGGACGGUUUCAGAAGAAGCCUGAAUACUUCCUGAAGCAGUCCACCUCUGCUUUUGCAAGUCCUCCGGAACUUUGUACCUUGAGAGCUGGCUCAGAGGCAGCCGAGGAGCCUGCCUGGAGACUCCCCUUUCUCUAGAGAGCGGGACUACAGCUGGCUGGCUGAGCGCACAGAGCCUCAAGGCCGCUCUACCUGUGUGCCCUGCUCAUGCUCCGCCCCCAGCCACUCCCUCGCCCCUCGGCCGGGCCUGUGCUGAAUCAGCAGCAUCCCCCUAGCUCUCUUGGCAUCGUGCAGCCCGGCUAAGCCAAGUGUGGUUACAAUGAGUCGGUUCAUCUGGAAGCUCGCAUCCUGUACCCUUUUCCAAUGUGAUGUUCCAGCCAACUGGCACCCAAGAGUAAAGAAAAACCCUGGGAACCGAGGCUGCUGAGGACUUACAGCCUUGCACAAGCCAAGGGCAAGGGCAACACUGAGGGGAAGGUCGCCCCGCUGCCAGGCCUUUCUCUCUACUCCGUCUUGGUUCCUGUCUAGCAGCACAUGGCCCUGGCUGGCAGUCAGCGAUCCACUGCUGGUACUUGUUGGUGGCUUGGCUGUCCUCCAUCCAGCCAGGGCAUUUGGACCUUGUUUCUAAUUCUGCUUAUGAGCUCGGGAAGCGAGCCAGUAGUUUCCCUUGGAAAUUGCCUCUAUUGAUGUCAUUUUCCAUCCUAGUCCCCGGGGGAAUCUGUUUCUCUAUUUCCUCCACAUUGACACUACUCUUGCCCUUGGCUCAAAUACAGAAGCCUCAGGUAGCACCAAUGACAUGGGGAGGGGAAGGGAUGGGGGGGCACAUAUAAGAGACGGAGGUCAUGGGGCACUUGGGUGGCUCCGUUGGUUAAGUAUCCGACUCUUGA